rnacentral:rRNA from 1 species
CUACGGGAGGCAGCAGUGAGGAAUAUUGCACAAUGGGGGGAACCCUGAUGCAGCAACGCCGCGUGGAGGAUGACGCAUUUCGGUGUGUAAACUCCUUUUAUAUGUCAAGAAAAUGACGGUAGCAUAUGAAUAAGCACCGGCUAACUCCGUGCCAGCAGCCGCGGUAAUACGGGGGUGCAAGCUUACUCGGAAUCACUGGGCGUAAAGGACGCGUAGGCGGGUUGGAAAGUCAGGUGUGAAAUCCUACAGCUUAACUGUAGAACUGCACUUGAAACUUCUAAUCUAGAGUAUGGGAGGGGGAGAUGGAAUUAGUGGUGUAGGGGUAAAAUCCGUAGAUAUCACUAGGAAUACCUAAAGCGAAGGCGAUCUCCUGGAACAUUACUGACGCUAAGGCGUGAAAGCGUGGGGAGUAAACAGGAUUAGAUACCCCAGUAGUC